GGUGAUGUGGUUCAGUGGUAGAGCACUUGCCUAGCAUGCAUUAAGUCCUGGGUUUGAUCCUCAGCACCACCA
rfam:Ictidomys tridecemlineatus contig094680, whole genome shotgun sequence.